GGACGACGCUGGCGGCGUGCCUAACACAUGCAAGUCGAACGGGGUUAUUUCCUUCGGGGAAUAACUUAGUGGCGAACGGGUGAGUAACGCGUGAGGAACCUGCCUUUCAGUGGGGGACAACAGUUGGAAACGACUGCUAAUACCGCAUAACGUAUCGAGGGGGCAUCCCCUUGAUACCAAAGCUUUAUGUGCUGUAAGAUGGACUCGCGUCCAAUUAGAUAGUUGGUGGGGUAACGGCCCACCAAGUCGACGAUUGGUAGCCGGACUGAGAGGUUGAACGGCCACAUUGGGACUGAGACACGGCCCAGACUCCUACGGGAGGCAGCAGUGGGGGAUAUUGCACAAUGGGGGAAACCCUGAUGCAGCAACGCCGCGUGAGGGAAGAAGGUUUUCGGAUUGUAAACUCCUGUCCUCAGGGAAGAGCAAGAGACGGUACCUGAGGAGGAAGCCCCGGCUAACUACGUG
rnacentral:rRNA from 1 species